AUUUUUUAGUUAAUAAGUAGGUUGAUUCAAUGUACCAGCAAAUACAACAUAAGACCUGGUAAAUGCCAGGUUAUAAACUGAGGCAAUUGAAACAUAGAGGAUUUCUGGGUGUGUUACAACACAACUUUUGCAGAUACAAAUUUUGGACUUUUCAUAAACAGCAGAAAGCCUAUACCAGCAGUGAGAAAGAGG
rnacentral:lncRNA from 12 species